UUAUGUAUUUAAUCCGAUGAAUGUUAUGGGAUUUGCAGAUGUGAAAAUUUAGCCACUGUUCCAUAGCGGAAUCCUCGUGAUGGCUAGUUUGACUCUUAAAUCAUCGGUGUAUUUGGAAAUAAAUUAUAGUUUGAAGACGUGAAUCAUAAAACUUUGUAUAGAAUAGUAAAAGAAUACAUAAACUUCAUUGCAAGCUGAAGUCAACGGAACAAGAUCGGAAGGACCAUCCAGAAGACUACACAGAAGAAUUAAUUUUUCAUAUCUAAAUUAAUCGGUUAUCCAAUGUAAUUAAUGCAUCGUUUAUUCACACAAAUGCCGAUAAUGUAUCAAUAAAGUAUUUUUUUUAAAUUAUGA
rnacentral:lncRNA from 1 species